GGAGUUAGCCGGUGCUUCUUCUGUGAGUGAUGUCCUUCCUGCCGGCUAUUAACCCGCAGGCCUUCUUCCUCACUGAAAGUGCUUUACAACCCGAAGGCCUUCUUCACACACGCGGCAUGGCUGGAUCAGGGUUGCCCCCAUUGUCCAAUAUUCCCCACUGCUGCCUCCCGUAGGAGUCUGGGCCGUGUCUCAGUCCCAGUGUGGCUGAUCAUCCUCUCAGACCAGCUACGGAUCGUCGCCUUGGUGAGCCGUUACCUCACCAACCAGCUAAUCCGACAUAGGCUCAUCCGAUAGCGCGAGGCCCGAAGGUCCCCCGCUUUCCCCCGUAGGGCGUAUGCGGUAUUAGCCUGGGUUUCCCCAGGUUAUCCCCCACUACCGGGCAGAUUCCUAUGCAUUACUCACCCGUCCGCCGCUCGCCACCAGGGAGCAAGCUCCCCGUGCUGCCGCUCGACUUGCAUGUGUUAGGCCUGCCGCCAGCGUUCAAUCUGAGCCAGAAUCGAAACCUCGACUACGAGACGGCGUCGCGACGACGCGACUAG
rnacentral:rRNA from 1 species